rnacentral:rRNA from 1 species
CCAGCAGCUGCGGUAAUUCCAGCUCCAAUAGCGUAUAUUAAUUUUGUUGCAGUUAAAAAGCUCGUAGUUGGAUUUCUUUUAUGUGAAUGGCUUCGGGUCAGUAAGCCUUUGUGCUCACUUGCCUUCCAUUUAUAUAAAAUAAAUUGUGAAUUUCGCGCGUGGUUGAAUCAUGUCGGGUAUUCAUUUAUCUGAUUUGGUGACGCCUGUGCAUAUGGGAUUCGCAUCAUUUACUGUGAAAAAAUCAAAGCGUUCAAAGCAGGCUCUAAGCUCUCUGAAUGUCUCAGCAUGGAAUAAUAAGAUAAGUUUCAUCCUCAUUUUGUUGGUUUGCAAGGAAGAAAAAUGAUUAAUAGGGACAAUUGGGGUUAUUCGUAUUAGAUUGUCAGAGGUGAAAUUCUUGGAU